rnacentral:rRNA from 1 species
AAGUCGACGCUUCUUUUCUCCGAGUGCUUGCACUCACUUGAAAAGAAGAGUGGCGGACGGGUGAGUAACACGUGGGUAACCUGCCCAUCAGAGGGGGAUAACACUUGGAAACAGGUGCUAAUACCGCAUAAUAGUCGACACCGCAUGGUGUUGAUUUGAAAGACGCUUUCGGGUGUCACUGAUGGAUGGACCCGCGGUGCAUUAGCUAGUUGGUGAGGUAACGGCUCACCAAGGCCAUGAUGCAUAGCCGACCUGAGAGGGUGAUCGGCCACACUGGGACUGAGACACGGCCCAGACUCCUACGGGAGGCAGCAGUAGGGAAUCUUCGGCAAUGGACGAAAGUCUGACCGAGCAACGCCGCGUGAGUGAAGAAGGUUUUCGGAUCGUAAAACUCUGUUGUUAGAGAAGAACAAGUGGGAGAGUAACUGCUCCCGCCUUGACGGUAUCUAACCAGAAAGCCACGGCUAACUACGUGCCAGCAGCCGCGGUAAUACGUAGGUGGCAAGCGUUGUCCGGAUUUAUUGGGCGUAAAGCGAGCGCAGGCGGUUUCUUAAGUCUGAUGUGAAAGCCCCCGGCUCAACCGGGGAGGGUCAUUGGAAACUGGGAGACUUGAGUGCAGAAGAGGAGAGUGGAAUUCCAUGUGUAGCGGUGAAAUGCGUAGAUAUAUGGAGGAACACCAGUGGC